UCCGUAGGUGGAUAAUUAAGUCAGAGGUGAAAUCCUGCAGCUCAACUGUAGAAUUGCCUUUGAUACUGGUUAUCUUGAGUUAUUAUGAAGUAGUUAGAAUAUGUAGUGUAGCGGUGAAAUGCAUAGAUAUUACAUAGAAUACCAAUUGCGAAGGCAGAUUACUAAUAAUGUACUGACACUGAGGGACGAAAGCGUGGGGAGCGAACAGGAUUAGAUACCCUGGUAGUCC
rnacentral:rRNA from 1 species